rnacentral:misc_RNA from 1 species
AAAAAACCAACUCUUGAAAUUCUUCCUCCGGGGAUGCCAUCUCUUUCUGCUUUAGUUACUGGUCAGAAAAAACCUGGUCCUGGUACACAAAGUUCACAGCAGCAAGCUAGCAAGCCAUUACAAUUAGAGGCACCACCUGCUGUUAUUUCUGAACCAGCAACUGCAUCAAUUACUGCCCCAACUACUGCUAUAGCACCAGAAAAUGCACCUUCUAGUUCUAUGGUAG